UGGGGAAUCUUGCGCAAUGGGGGAAACCCUGACGCAGCGACGCCGCGUGAGUGAAGAAGGCCUUCGGGUUGUAAAGCUCUGUCGAAUGGGAAAAAGCGAUUGUUAUAAUAAUAAGAUAAUGAAGUGAUUGUACCAUUAGAGGAAGCACCGGCUAACUCUGUGCCAGCAGCCGCGGUAAUACAGAGGGUGCAAGCGUUGUUCGGAAUUAUUGGGCGUAAAGGGCAGGUAGGUGGUGUGUUAAGACUGCUGUGAAAUCCCUGGGCUUAACCCAGGAAGUGCGGCAGUGACUGACAGACUAGAGUACUGGAGAGGUUCGUGGAAUACCCGGUGUAGCGGUGAAAUGCGUAGAUAUCGGGUGGAACACCAGAGGCGAAGGCGGCGAACUGGACAGAAACUGACACUAAACUGCGAAAGCGUGGGGAGCAAACAGGAUUAGAUACCCCGGUAGUCC
rnacentral:rRNA from 1 species